rnacentral:rRNA from 1 species
CAGCAGCCGCGGUAAUACGUAGGGUGCGAGCGUUAAUCGGAAUUACUGGGCGUAAAGCGUGCGCAGGCGGUUCGCUAAGUCUGAUGUGAAAGCCCCGGGCUCAGCCUGGGGACUGCAUUGGAAACUGGCGAGCUUGAGUGUGGCAGAGGGGGGUGGAAUUCCACGUGUAGCAGUGAAAUGCGUAGAGAUGUGGAGGAACACCGAUGGCGAAGGCAGCCCCCUGGGCUAACACUGACGCUCAGGCACGAAAGCGUGGGGAGCAAACAGGAUUAGAUACCCUGGUAGUCCACGCCCUAAACUAUGUCAACUGGGUGUUGGGGAAGCGAUUCCUCAGUACCGUAGCUAACGCGUGAAGUUGACCGCCUGGGGAGUACGGCCGCAAGGUUAAAACUUAAAGGAAUUGACGG